CACACAUCUACGAAUGGAAGGCGUGUGUGUAGCGGCGAAUAGAUGUCUAUCUCCUUCCCAUCCCAUGUUUAAACUGUUGGCUCCACAUUUUCUCUACAUUAUUGCAAUCAAUGCAUAUAUUGCAAGGAUGGAAAAAUUCUACCACAAUUCUACCAGCGUGACGAUAGUCUUGACCUGUAUGAUGCCAUCCGAAAUUACGUCACCAAAUAUGUCCAUCUCUACUAUGACACACUUGAUAAAAUCAACAACGAUCCUGAAAUUCAGAACUUUGGACGUGAAUUAUCAAUGCC